GAUGAACGCUGGCGGCGUGCCUAAUACAUGCAAGUCGAGCGAACGGACGAUAAGCUUGUUUCUCUGAUGUUAGCGGCGGACGGGUGAGUAACACGUGGAUAACCUACCUAUAUGACUGGUAUAACUUCGGGAAACCGGCGCUAAUACCGGAUAAUCUUCUGAACCGCAUGGUUCAAUAGUGAAAGACGGUCUUGCUGUCACUUAUCGAUGGAUCCGCGCUGCAUUAGCUAGUUGGUAAGGUAACGGCUUAUCAAGGCAACGAUGCAUAGCCGACCUGUGAGGGUGAUCGGCCACACUGGAACUGAGACGCGGUCCAGACUCCUACGGGAGGCAGCAGUAGGGAAUCUUCCGCAAUGGGCGGAAGCCUUACGGAGCAAGGCCGCGUGAGUGAUGAAGGUCUUCGGAUCGUAAAACUCUGUUAUUAGGUAAGAACAUAUGUGUAAGUAGCUGUGCACAUCUUGACGGUACCUAAUCAGAAAGCCACGGCUAACUACGUG
rnacentral:rRNA from 1 species